rnacentral:rRNA from 1 species
GAUGAACGCUGGCGGCGUGCCUAAUACAUGCAAGUCGAGCGAACAGACGAGGAGCUUGCUCCUCUGACGUUAGCGGCGGACGGGUGAGGAACACGUGGAUAACCUACCUAUAAGACAGGGAUAACUUCGGGAAACCGGAGCUAAUACCGGAAAAUAUAUUGAAUCGCAAGGGUCAAUAGUGAAAGACGGUUUUGCUGUCACUUAUAGAUGGAUCCGCGCCGCAUUCGUUAGUUGGUAAGGUAACGGCUUACCAAGUAGACGAUGCGUAACCGACCUGAGAGGGUGGUCGGCCACACUGGAACUGAGACACGGUCCAGACUCCUACGGGAGGCAGCAGUAGGGAAUCUUCCGCGAUGGGCGAAAGCGUGACGGAGCAACGCCGCGUGAGUGAUGAAGGUCUUCGGAUCGUAAAACUCUGUUAUUAGUGAAGAACAAAUGUGUAAGCAACUAUGCACGUCUUGACGGUACCUAAUCAGAAAGCCACGGCUAACUACGUG